GAGCGCUCCAGCCAGUGAUUCAGAUGCAAACACGUCCACACUCACCAGGAUCUUACGACAGUAACAAAACCAGCGGCUGCCGUCUUCUCCGGUCAGGACGAAGGAGAAGGUCUCACUGAGAACACAUCGACACCAAGGAGAGGGCUUCCAGUCCUGUGAGUCAGGGAAGCAGAACUUGGGAAUGACCUUCAGCUGAUCCUCAGCCUCUCUGGAGAGCCGGGACGACUUUUCAAACUGAAACAGAGGAACUCAGUUAAGCACAGCAGCGGUUCUCUAAACCUUGAAGUGGUUCCAGGGGAGUAGGUGUUUCCAGCGGAGCCUUUUCUCAGCGACACCACCACGAAGAUCUGGAAAAGCUGCUGCUGCUGCAGCUGGAUUAGGUCUCUCUCCAAGGUGCGGUAGCCUGGCCGACGUUUCAGUGUAGACUGGAUAUAAACUGAUCUCUUGGAGCCUGCUAGACACCACACAAUGAAACAAUAUGGUAAUGCUUAUCCUGGGACGUAUCACUUUCAGCACAGAGGAGCAAUACGAGGCUUUUUAAAAGAUUAGUAUAAAAAUGUGAAGUUCCACAAUGAUUCUCUGCAACCUGAAGUGGGUCAACAUUUUGGGAAACAGGCUUAUUUCCUUUCUUGUUGAUAGAUGAGGAGAUCGAUGCCACUUUUAUAUAUGUCCUUUUAGUAUGAUGCAACAGAUGUGUGUAAUCUGUACAAAAAUAGAAAUGUAUAAACAAGUUCUGGUUUUACAGGGAGUUGCGUGCUGGGACUACUUCUUGUCCAGGCCCUGGGACUUUCUGGACUCUUUUAAUCGCAGAGAGUUUGUCAGGCGGCCAUCGAAGUCUUCAAAGAGUCUCCGUGCCUGGCAUAUAAAACUAUAGCUUCUCUUUUACAUUUUUACAGUUCUGUUUUUGCACCAUUUAAAACAAAUGUUAUAUACUAUAACCUGUUAAUAAUAUUUUAUGGUGGUGGAUUGUCAUCAGUCCAGCCAUGAACUUUGUACAGACAUUCAUGGUCCCCAGAUGAUGAAUCCUACUGUGUUCGAUGAUCCACUGACUCUUCAUCUAGCACCAUCAUCAGGUUGAUUUGACCAAUACUUUGUGCUUACGUACAUCUCCACACAGCUGCUAGCAUGACUGUAGACUCUCAGUCUUGGAUGGACCAGACAUUUGCAUCAAUCAGCUCAUGUAGAUCUUGGCAAGAAAGUGAAAGCCUAGAACCCAAACUGUAGAACUGUUUCUUUAGAAGGGUCGCACUGGGUAUAAAUAAUGGGUAGUUCAUGUCUCACAGCAGUGUUUCUCAAAAUUCAAACCACAUUUCUGACAAGCAUGAUUGUUAAGAGGAUGUUGCUAGGUGUUUGUUUCCACUGGCUUUUCAAAGCCAAAGCUUUCAAAGUGCUUUAUAGCAAUACAGCAGAUUCCUCAACAAAUCUGAUCUUGCUCUUUCUGUUACUAAUAAAUCAUUCAACUAUUUUACAAUUAAUAGAUUAGAUUUAGUCUCUAAAAUGUUAGAAAAUUGCGAUAAAAGCCCUUCACCAUUUUUUCGAGGCGACGUCUUUCAAUUUCUAAUUUUGUCCAACCAAUAGACUAAUCGUUUAUUCAAUUUAGUUAAAGCCAGCAAAAUUAUUAGCACCCAGCAGCCCUCUUUAGAAUGACAGACAACUUUUGCGGAGGCAUGGUUAGGUCCGACCAUCCUCUAUUGGAGGAAAUAAUUUGUAUCCCUUUUGGGAGGAGGAGCAGGUCUCAUGGGGGUAAAAAGCACUAAUUUUAAAUUUUCUUUUGUUCCGAGUGUAAUAAAUGUGCUUAAUUUGCAGUAAACCUUAACUGCACUGCUAUGCAGCAUUGGCAUUCCAAUGGUUAAACUAGACACAUUUUUUUUGUUGUUGUUAAUUCUAACUGUUGUGAUUAAUGUCCCAUGUCCUCUUGUAUGUUGCGUUUGUUUUUUUACCCUUUAAUGCAAAUCAAAUUUCCAUCGAACUGAAUCUGAACUUCAACCGAAAUUUACAAUGACACAAAACAGAGAAAAGGUUCCACUAUAUACAUUUAAAAAAGGAAGUGUGGAAAAUCCCCUCCCACUGUAACCCUCUUCUACCUGCCUAACUGCUUCCUAGAUGGGCGGAGCCCCAGAAUCCAUACAGGCAGCCAGCUCACCUGUGGGAACAAGGAAGCUGACUGUGGAGCUUUAAUAGUUUGAUGUGUGUAUAAUAUAUGAUGUGUACGUUUAUUUUGUCCGGUUUAAAAUGUAUAUAUAGCAGGUUUAUUAGCUCAUGAUUUAUUUACUGUCCUGAUUAAGUUUCAGUAGUGGUUGCGUUAUUGCUUCAUUCUUAAGUUUAGGUUAAACUAUUUUUGGAAUCAUGAUGCCAAAAUAAUCUUAUGUUAUCAUUUUCUUUUGCUAUCAGACAAACCAGUUUAAACUACUUCCUAUUAAAAUAAUGAACUGGAA